UAAAAAUUUAUUUUUUUUUUUUUUUUCAUGUAAAUUUUUGUGUGAAUUUUAAUUAAAUUUUAAUAAUUUAUUUAAUAUAAUAUUUAUUUGCAGUAUUUAAUUUUAAUAAUUUAAGAAAUUAAGAAUUAUAAAUAAAUUUAAUUAUAGACAAAUUUUGUGCCAGCAGUUGCGGUUAUACAAAAUAUAUAAAUAAAUUUUAUUAGUUAAUAAUUAUAUGAUUUUAAUGAUAAAUUUAAUUUUUAUUUAUUAGGUGAAAUUUUAAAUAGAAUUUUAAUUUUUAUAUUAGUUUUUAUUAUUAUGAAAUUUAAUAUUAAACUAGGAUUAGAUACCCUAUUAUUUUAAAUGUAAAUUUAUAAUACUUAAGUAGUAAUAGUUAUGAUCUUUAAAUUUAAAGAUUUUGGCGGUAUUUUAGUCUAUUCAGAGGAACCUGUUCUGUAAUUGAUAGUCCACGAUUAACUUUAUUUAAUUUUAAAAAUUUGUAUAUCAUUGUUUAUAGAAAAUUUUAUAAGAAUUUAAAUUUUUAAUAUUUUUUAUUAAAAUUAAUUUCAAAUCAAGGUGCAGUUUAUAAUUAAAUAGAAAUGGGUUACAAUAAAUUUAUUUAAAUGGAUAUAAAUAUUAAUAUAUUUAUUUAAAGUGGAUUUGAUAGUAAUUAAAUUAAGUUAAAUUUUUUGAUUUAAGCUCUAAAAUAUGUACAUAUCGCCCGUCGCUCUUAUAUAAAAUAAGAUAAGUCGUAACAUAGUAGAUGUACUGGAAAGUGUAUCUAGAAUGAA
rnacentral:ncRNA from 1 species